CGUAUUAUAUACGUGCGAUAAAAAGCGAAUAGUUAGGGAGUCAGCUGAGGUCGUAGUAGGUGGAUGCCAACCACUAAAGGAC
rnacentral:ncRNA from 1 species